AAGGCCUCUGUUCCCUGAGAGUCGCGUUGCUCUGGCAUGCAGCGCUAAGCAGGUCGUAAACUCGAUCUAAGGCUAAAUAUAUCCACAGGACCGAUAGCGAACAAGUACCGUGAGGGAAAGUUGAAAAGCACUCUGAAGAGAGAGUCAAAAGACCGUGAAACCGCUCAGAGUAUAAGCCCAUGGAGUUCGGAAGGCAUACCGCCGUCGAGCAAUUGGCGACAUGAAAGAAAGGUCGAUCAGGAAGGGGGCAUCAUCAUCCCUCUCCCGUCGUGCUGGGGAGUGCGUGGGCGUGAGACUACGGUGUAGCGUCCUCCUCUCUCUCAGUCGCGGGUCGUCAAGGUUACAUGUCGAAGGCGGGAACUGCCCACCACGGCUCGUUGUGAGGUCACCCACAGGCUCAACUGUCCAUUGCGUGUUCUCCUCGCUUAGCACUCGAGUGUCGUUGAUCCACCCCAUCAUGAGGCGGGUGUGGUUAGACACGCGCGGCGAGGCUGGCUCAAAACGAACCGAGCGACGACCGA
rnacentral:rRNA from 1 species